rnacentral:tRNA from 1 species
GCCGAUGUAGCUCAGUUGGUCAGAGCAGCUGAUUUGUAAUCAGCAGGUCGCGGGUUCGAAUCCCUCCAUCGGCUCUA